rnacentral:misc_RNA from 1 species
UUUCCGUAGGUGAACCUGCGGAAGGAUCAUUCAUAAUAAAGUGUUUAUGGCACUUUUUAAAAAUCCAUAUCCACCUUGUGUGCAAUGUUAGAUCUCGUCAAUCUUGGCGAGAUUUUUAUACAUCAACUCAUUCUUUAACUAAUUUGUCUGAAAAAUAUUAUGAAUACUUAAUUCAAAAUACAACUUUCAACAACGGAUCUCUUGGCUCUU